rnacentral:lncRNA from 1 species
ACCCAACCAGCAAAAGUUAGUUGUAUAGAAGGCCAUAGAACGUUUUGUAAAAACUAAUCGAUGGUCAAAUAAAAGGCCAAAGAAGGUGCACCUACAAAGAAAGUGGCGCAAUUAUAUCUCCAUUCAGUCUUAAAGUACAACUAUAACGAUAUCAGGCAUGACAAUUUGGGCCCGUUGCAGUUGAUGUAACAGUAACGCAAUCUCUAUAUUUGGUGACAUACAAGCCACAGCAACACUACUAAACACUUUUUAAGAACUGUAGAAGAGUUCAUGAAUCCAUUACAUUAUUAUUUAUCAUUCAUUCAUUUUACAUUCGUUCACUCUGCUCCAGUGGCUCAGUGUUUUAUUUAGAAGAGAAAUAAAAGAUAAAUCAGAAGAGACGAGGAGACCGUGUGUAAUGUUCUGCAAAAUGGUAGUCAUUAUAGACAUCGAUAAGUUUUUGACUCGUGACGAUUUCAAGCUACUUGCAGAAGUGGAAUGGCCGUGGGAAAUUACACAUUUUGUGUUAAAUAAGAAUUGUGUUAACUGUGGUUUACAUACCAAUUCAUCUUUACCAAGGCACUUCAUCAUGCGCAAAAAAUAUAUGAUAUCUUUACCAAGCUUCAUUUUUUUCUGGUGUCGGGGCUGCGGUAUUAUGUCUAUUUAUGACCACUACAUCCCUGAUGAAUGUUAUUAUUGUGAUUAAUUAUUCUACCUAUGGGCUAAAACUUUUCGUACUACAAAUCCAUUAGGUAUUUUACUAUUUAUUAAUUAUAGAAAAAAUAAAUAUCUCUUAUUAAUUACGUUGUUUUGAAGUUUACAUAGCAAGACAAGCAUUAAACCUACGUACCUACAUGUCUCCAUCCGAUUAAUUUUGUUUCCCACACUGCGCCUCGCGCCGCCUCACUCACUACUGUCCCACUGCUGGGCUGCGGCCUCCGCAUACACGGAGAAGGAUUGAGCAUUAAUCACCACGCUUGCUCAAUGCGGGUUGGUGAUUUCAGACUUUAUAGUCCAGGUUUCCUCAAGAUGUUUUCCUUCACCUUUUUUAUCAGCCAUUGGUGUCCAAGAUAUACUUAGAAAGUGCAUAUUAGAAAAGUUGCAUUGGUACUUGCCUGACCUGAAAAACUGUCACAUCUAGAAUCAUUGUAACCAUUUGAAUAAUUCUCCAUUUCUUCAUUGACGUGAACUAUAUUUUGUACGGAACCAUUUUCUAUAAUUGGGUCUUCAAAAAAUAUUGGUGGUCGCAUUAAUUACGCUGCAUCAAAACGUCAAUAUUGUUGUAGAAGAGCGAUAGAAGUGCCUUUACGAAACUGAAUUAGCAUUUAAAAGCAUUGCUAGCCUGCUUUUAUACACAGUAAUAAUGUUUUA